GGGGAUUUAGCUCAGUGGUAGAGCGCUUGCCUAGCAAGUGCAAGGCCCUGGGUUUAGUCCCCA
rfam:Rattus norvegicus chromosome 13, whole genome shotgun sequence.